rnacentral:lncRNA from 1 species
GCUUGGGCUUUUACAGUAGAAGCAAAAAUUCAUUUAUUGCUCAAGGUGUUGCCUGUCAGAGCAUGUCUGAGUCACCACUGAGGAUGCAGAACCAUCUGAUGGGAAAUGAGAAAGAAGAUCCUAAUUUUAAAUAUCCAUUGCCCCUGCUUCCUGUGCAGCAAGAAGAGACAAAUUUCCAGCAGUCAAAAAAUAAACCAUCCGCAGUUCAAGAAAAAAUUGAACCCUUUCUAAUCAUUGCUAUAAAAAGUAAUUGUUGCAUGUGGGUUCCUUGUCAAGAUUGGAAGGCUGACCAGUAGGUCCCCGAGAAGCCUCUAGUGAUGUGUCUGCUGGAUUGGAGGUGUAUCACAGGAUGUCACAUUUAGCAGCUGAUUGUGAAAUGCUUGAGAACAGGAAUUAUAGGAACAUUAUUUAAUGCUAAGUGUUAUCCACAUCAUAUCUGAAGCUUGAACAUGCCAGGAAAACAUCCUUCAUAUACUGCAAAUAAUCUAUCCGAGCUUUCAGGAUCAAUCAUGAAUUGGCUGGGUAUGUACACCAUUUCUCUUUGUGUGGCAUAAUAUUAUACACCAUAUUCAGUAACACAUUGCUUAUCUGUUACCUAUUUUCUAUGGCUGGUGCUUUUGCUUUAUAUAAUGAUUCUGCACAGCGUUUGACCAAUCACUUUAAAUCAAGAUUGGCACUUUAAAUCCAACAGAAAAAAAACUGAAAUUUAAAACCAGUAUCCCUCAUGCUAGUCUGUUUGUGCUAUAUAAGGAGAAAGAAGAUGUUCAAGCCAAGCAGCUGCUGGUGGGUUUAAGUGGGAAGCUAUCCAGAGAGACCAAGUUUAUGAUUUUCAUCUCCUGCUCUUGAUGCUGUCUUCAAGAGGAACAGAAUUAAGGGCUAAAAUCGUACCUUUAAUAUCUAAUUCCCAGAAGUCUUCUUCUUUUCCGAAGAAGUAAAUAACACCAUAGUGAACUCAUGGCAAAUAUUUUCCCAAUGCAUUUUCCUUCUGUGUUUAAAUUACAUUUAAUGAUACGCCACUUUCUCUUAUGAACUUGUUUGUCUGCAAACAGAUGUGAUACAUACUGUCAGCAAUGUUAUAUUAACAAAAAGAAAAAAGAAAAAAGAAAUGAGAAACAUAGCAACACAACCUUACCCGAGCACUAUAUAUGCUAUGUAUGUUUCUACAGAGCAGUGUCAUUUAGUCCAAAGUUUCUGCAGAGUGAAACAUGGAAAAGCUGUGGGUUUUCUUAACUUAGGGAACAGUUUACAUUCGUAUCGUAAAGCUGUGUUGUUGUAACAUCGUUCUUGUAAACCAGACUCCCAGUGGUAGGUGUUGUGUAGGCACAGGAGGAAGAGUCCUGGUUGCAUCUGUGAGGACAGUGUUUACCUUCGUGUUUUCUACAGUUUCUGUUGUGAAAUAGUAAAGAAAGGUGGGGAAAAAAAUAGGAAUUAUGAAAUAUUUCUCGAGAUUUUAUUUUGUUUCCACAACUUCUAUCCAAGUUAAAAUGGCUUGGUUUCAACCAAUGGGUCAGAAUUACUCGGCGUUUCGAGCAUUCGUGUUUGCCACAAAAACGUUGUGUUCUCCUAACAGCUAUUUUUCUCUAUGAAAUGCUUUCUUUGAAUUUAGGCCAAGUCAUAAUGAAUGCUGGAGCAAUUAAAGUAUCAGCCACUAUAAGGAGUCUUGGGAGCAGAGGAGACAGACGGGAUCAGGGCUUAAGCUGUGGAAAUACAUUUGUGCGAAAUAAAGGACUGAUAAACCUCUGUUUCAAACAGAAUAGUUUGUGUAUGCUAAGCUCCCAGUACUAAACAUCUCCUUCUGCCCCCUCCUACUAAGCAAAACAAAAUUUAGAUACUCAAACUUUAUAUGUGAAGAAAGAAAGGAAACAGAGUAUUUCUAAUUUUUUGGCAGGUGCUCAUAAAUUUAUGAUAGCAGAAUAAUAACACAGCAUGGACUGGUUAGUGGGAAAGGUGCUGUGAGAAUUUAGAGUAUGACUUUAUAAACUGUCUUAAUUAUUAAAUCUUCAGAUUCCAGGCAGGUUUAAGUUCAUUUCCAUGUGUCAUAAUGUAGAUGUUGUGGGUUUUUAAGCCAAAGUGUUAGUGUCUAGGACUGAAUCAUGCCUUCAUAUUCUGCAAUCAAUUCAGUUGUUUUCAUGUCAUUCUUGUAAUUGUUGCCUUCUUU